rnacentral:rRNA from 1 species
UACGUAGGUGGCAAGCGUUGUCCGGAUUUAUUGGGCUUAAAGGGUGCGUAGGCGGUCCUAUAAGUCAGUGCUGAAAUAUCCCGGCUUAACCGGGAGGGUGGCAUUGAUACUGUAGGACUUGAGUAAAGUUGAGGUUGGCGGAAUUGACGGUGUAGCGGUGAAAUGCUUAGAUAUCGUCAAGAACACCUAUUGCGAAGGCAGCUAACUAAGCUUUAACUGACGCUGAGGCACGAAAGUGUGGGGAUCAAACAGG